AGAGCGAACGCUGGCGGCAGGCUUAACACAUGCAAGUCGAACGGAUCCUUCGGGAUUAGUGGCGGACGGGUGAGUAACACGUGGGAACGUGCCUUUAGGUUCGGAACAACACAGGGAAACUUGUGCUAAUACCGGAUGUGCCCUUCGGGGGAAAGAUUUAUCGCCUUUAGAGCGGCCCGCGUCUGAUUAGCUUGUUGGUGAGGUAAAGGCUCACCAAGGCUACGAUCAGUAGCUGGUCUGAGAGGAUGGCCAGCCACAUUGGGACUGAGACACGGCCCAAACUCCUACGGGAGGCAGCAGUGGGGAAUCUUGCGCAAUGGGGGAAACCCUGACGCAGCCAUGCCGCGUGGAUGAUGAAGGUCUUAGGAUUGUAAAAUCCUUUCAGCGGGGACAUAAUGACGGUACCCGCAGAAGAAGCCCCGGCUAACUUCGUGCCAGCAGCCGC
rnacentral:rRNA from 1 species